AUUGGAUCGGACAUGGCGUGAAGGGACCUCAGGGGCGCAUAGAGACAGCCGAGUGUGAGAGGAGACCUUCUGCCCCCCUUUCCGCCUCCUCCUUGCUCCUCAAGGAAGUACUCCUGUUGACUGCUUUGCUUUGAAGCCAGGGACACUGGUCAUACCACCCUAACUGAUUGACACAAAAGGUAAAUGACGUCCUUGGUCUAAAAAUGAGUUUGUGGUAGAUACAUGUUCAAUUAUCGUGAUAACACGUACGCCUUUACUAAGAAGGUGUUUUUCACACCUUACUCAGGAAAUACGGCACCUUUGUAGUGUUUCCAAACCCGUGUUUAGAGGAUUAUUCAAAGCUCAGAGAAUUCAGAUGGGGAAUAACAAACCCAUGCGUAUAGUUACCCAUCAUUCAAUUUAG